AUCAGAUCUAGCAAAACGUCAAAAGGGAGCUCUAGAGUCUUCCAACUCCAGCUGUACACCAAUAAAAGAACCCCUCUUGAAAACAACGAAAACACCUGGGAAAAACAACAUAGUAGAAACUUUAAUUAGCCAUCAAAUCCAACCCCUUUCAGAAACCUUUUCAUUUACCCCAAUGCACUUUAGAGAUAAUAUCCAAUUUGAAUGCUACCAGCAAAUUCAAAAAACACUCCCACCAACCUCUUCAUUUCCUCUCCCUCUUGACUCUCUCGCCUCCUCCGUCCACCUCCAAUCUUCAGCCAUUUCCUCCGCAACACCAGAAGGGACCAUAUUCAACAGAUAAGUAGUUUCCCCUUUCUUAAUUCCUUCAGAUGCUAGUAAAUGGGCUACCUUGUUUGGCUUCUUGUUGGUAAAAAGAAAACCACAUAAACUGAAUCUUAAACUCAGUUUCAGAGAAUUGUUGAUAUACGCUAAAAUCUCAGAUCUGUCCUUGCAGCUUCCGAAUUACUGACCGAGAAUCGCCUUCAAUCUCUACCUCUCUCAAACCUAGUUGAAAACCAAGAUUCAGUGCCUGGAAACACGCCACUGUUUUCGCUGCAAGACAGACGGUAUGUUCUUGUUCAUUACAGUUUUUGAACAAAUGAUCCCAGCUUUAUCGUUUCAAAUCACUAACCCACCGGAGCAACCCAUCUGUACACACACACCCUUCUUCAGCUCCAGUUUGACACCGCCGACAAGUAGGAGAAGCUAGCAUUCUUCGAUAGUGAAGAUUACUAAAAGUAGGCAGAUAGUUACACAAGAGUCACCAAACUGAAAUUUUAAUUUUAGAAGAAUUUUGUGACCACUACGAACCGGGUACUCCCCUGACAACUCACCUCGCCAAAUGAGAGAAUCUUCAUGCAUGAACAAAGAAAGAGGAAUACAAAGAAUCCUUUCUGCAACUUGCUCCAGAAAGGAAUCCAAACAUCGUUCCAAAUAGAAACAUUCUGACCAUCCCCGAGCCUCCAGCCCAGUCCCUUCAAAAGGAGGCCUGUCGCACCCCAAAGGCUCUGCCAGGUAAAAGAGGGUCGUCCCACGUGAGUGCCCGACGCUUGCUGUCCAAGUUCAAGAAGCUGCCCCUGUCGAAACAAAACAAUUGAUGGUUAACCAAGAGAGUUUCUUUGAGCAAAGCUUUAGCCAAAGCUACUCAACAUCUUAGGAAACUGCGUAAGGAAAAUUGACAGAAGGAGUUGAAAACUGCCAUGUUCCAAAGCCUCAAUGGAAAAGAGAUAUUGCAGAGUUUGAAUUCGAUGGAUUUGAAAGAGCUGGGUUUGUUGAUUAAGCAAAACUUAAAGGAAAUUGACGAGAGGGUUCGUGUGCCUACUAAAGUGUCUUGUUCUUAAGGAUGUUAUUGACAGUGCUCUCUGGUUUUAGUGUCAUAUUUGUAAUAAUCGAAAAAUAUCAUUUCCCCCAUUUUAGAUUUCUAUGGAGUCAUUUUUUUAUGAAGGCUUAUCUGCAGAAAAAUCACAUUUUUUUUGAACUAGAAAGAAAAAACAUAUUAAUGUUUGUUUUA